AUACGGAGGGGGUUAGCGUUGUUCGGAAUUACUGGGCGUAAAGCGCACGUAGGCGGAUUAAUAAGUCAGGGGUGAAAUCCCGAGGCUCAACCUCGGAACUGCCUUUGAUACUGUUAAUCUUGAGUUCGAGAGAGGUGAGUGGAAUUCCGAGUGUAGAGGUGAAAUUCGUAGAUAUUCGGAGGAACACCAGUGGCGAAGGCGGCUCACUGGCUCGAUACUGACGCUGAGGUGCGAAAGCGUGGGGAGCAAACAGAAUUAGAAACCCCAGUAGUCC
rnacentral:rRNA from 1 species